ACUGUAGGUCGGAGGGAGAGAGAGAGAAGGGUGUUGGUAGGGCGGAUCUGGAGGACUUUCAGACCCAUAGAUACUGAUUGGAGGUCCUCCAGGGUUGUUGGAGGUCCUCCAGACCCAGGAAUUCCCAAUCAGGGUCCUCCAGACCCAUAGAUACUGAUUGGAGGUCCUCCAAGGUUGUUGGAGGUCCUCCAGACCCAUAGAUCCCAACUUGGGGGUCCUCCAGCCCCAUUGGAGGUCCUCCAGCCCCAUAGAUCCCAACUUGGGGGGCAGGAAGAGGCGUGGAGGACCUGCACCUCUGGGGCUGAAUGAGGUGGAACGCUGCAGACUGUAGGUCGGAGGGAGAGAGAGAGAAGGGUGUUGGUAGGGGGGAUCUGGAGGACUUUCCGGCCCAUAGAUACUGAUUGGAGGUCCUCCAGGGCUUUUGGGGGUCCUCCAGGGCUGUUGGAGGUCCUCCAGACCCAUAGAUACUGAUUGGAAGUCCUCCAGGGUUGUUGGAGGUCCUCCAGACCCAUAGAUACUGACUGGAAGUCCUCCAAGGUUGUUGGAGGUCCUCCAGCCCCAUAGAUUCCCAAUCGGGGUCCUCCAGCCCCAUAGAUACUGAUUGAAAGUCCUCCAAGGUUGUUGGAGGUCCUCCAGCCCCACAGGAGGACCUCCAACACCACUGGAGGACCUCCCCCAAGUCCUCCAAGCCCCCCCAGCCCCACAGGAGGACCUUCCCCCAAGUCCUCCAGCCCCACAGGAGGACCUCCAACCCUACAGGAGGACCUCCAGCCCCACAGGAGGACCUCCCCAAGUCCUCCAACCCCACUGGAGGACCUCCCCAAGUCCUCCAACCCCACAGGAGGACCUCCCAAGUCCUCCAGCCCCACAGGAGGACCUCCAACCCCAUAGAAGGACCUCCAACCUUACAGGAGGACCUUCCCCCAAGUCCUCCAACCCCACAGGAG